rnacentral:rRNA from 1 species
AGAUGGACUCGCGUCCGAUUUGUUAGUUGGUGAGGUAACGGCUCACCAAGACCGCGAUCGGUAGCCGGACUGAGAGGUUGAACGGCCACAUUGGGACUGAGACACGGCCCAGACUCUUACGGGAGGCAGCACUGGGGGAUAUUGCGCAAUGGGGGCAACCCUGACGCAGCAACGCCGCGUGAAGGAUGAAGGUUUUCGGAUUGUAAACUUCUUUUAUUAAGGACGAAAAAUGACGGUAUUUAAUGAAUAAGCUCCGGCUAACUACGUGCCAGCAGCCGCGGUAAUAUGUAGGGAGCGAGCGUUUCUCGGAUUUACUGGGUGUAAAGGGUGCGUAGGCGGCUUUGCAAGUCAGAUGUGAAAUCUAUGGGCUCAACCCAUAAAAUGCAUUUGAAACUGUAGAGCUUGAGUGUAGUAGAGGCAGGCGGAAUUCCCCGUGUAGCGGUGAAAUGCGUAGAGAUGUGGAGGAACACCAGUGGCGAAGGCGGCCUGUUGGGCUUUAACUGACGCUGAGGCACGAAAGCGUGGGUAGCAAACAG